ACACUUUCUUGGUGUAAAGUUGGCGAUGAUCACCAAGAUCGCAAUCCCGUGCCAAGACCUUCCAUCACACUACGAGAAGCUGAAGCGCGCCUCCUUCUCCAAAGUGGGCUCGGAGGAGCAUACAAAUUUUGGUAUAUUAGAGCAAAUGUCUUCACUGUAAC